rnacentral:rRNA from 1 species
UCCGCCUACGGGAGGCAGCAGUGAGGAAUAUUGGUCAAUGGGCGGGAGCCUGAACCAGCCAAGUCGCGUGAGGGAAGAAGGUACUGAGUAUUGUAAACCUCUUUUGCCAGGGGACAAAGGCGGCCACGGGUGGCCGUAAGAGGGUACCCGUAGAACAAGCAUCGGCUAACUCCGUGCCAGCAGCCGCGGUAAUACGGAGGAUGCGAACGUUAUCCGGAUUUAUUGGGUUUAAAGGGUGCGCAGGCGGCACGGCAAGCCGGCGGUCAAAUCGCGGGGCUCAACCCCGCCCAGCCGUCGGACCUGCC